CUGCAUGGUUGUCCGUCAAGCUCGGUGUCUUGAGAUGUUAGGGUUAAGUCUCCGCAACGAGCGCAACCCUCGUUUUUAUGUUGCCAGCAAGUAAUGGUGGGGACUCAUAGGAGACUGCCGGGGUCAACUCGGAGGAAGGUGGGGAUGAGGUCAAAUCAUCAUGCCCCUUAUGUCUUGGGCUUCACACAUGCUACAAUGGCCGGUACAAAGGGCUGCGAUACCGCGAGGUGGAGCGAAUCCCAAAAAACCGGUCUCAGUUCGGAUUGGGGUCUGCAACUCGACCCCAUGAAGUUGGAGUCGCUAGUAAUCGCAGAUCAGCAACGCUGCGGUGAAUACGUUCCCGGGCCUUGUACACACCGCCCGUCAAGUCACGAAAGUCGGUAACACCCGAAGCCGGUGGCCCAACCCUUGUGGAGGGAGCCGUCGAAGGUGGGACUGGCGAUUGGGACU
rnacentral:rRNA from 1 species